UAUACUACAUACAUAUAUCUAUAAAGGAAAAAGUUGUUCCCGUAGCACCAAACCUUAUCCGCGCACACAGAAAAUUGAAGUGUGAAUCCGAUGACGAGGUGCAUCCAUUGGAAUCCUUCACUUUUGGGCCUGCAACAGACUAGAAUUCUGAACCCAAAUCCCUGUUUUCAAACAAGGAUUCCUUUGCAGUGCAGCAUAAUUCGAUGCAAAAACUCACUGCUGACUCGCAGGUCGAAUCCCCGUGCCCUCAACACUUUUCUUUUUGCUCUCAAUACCCCGCCCCAAAAAGGAGAUAUUACUCAAUUUCUUCAAACAAGUGCGGGACUUUUGUUUUUGUACUGGUUUGCAAAUUUCUUGGUUCCAGAUAUAGUCUCCAAGUAUUUCCAUUUCGACAAGUUUAAUGAAGAUCAGAAGUCUACUGACGACUGAGGAUAUGAAGAAGCAAUGGUGGACGUACACUUUUGAGCAGCACCAAUUAUUUUAUUUUCAUUCAUCUAAAAAAAGAGAGAGAGAGAAAAAAAAAAAAAAAAAAAAAACCCUCUUUUUACUCUGA